AGAGCCCGGAGAUGGAUUCUGAGACACGAAUCCAGGCCCUACGGGGCGCAGCAGGCGCGAAAACUUUGCAAUGCGGGAAACCGUGACAAGGGAACUCUGAGUGCCCGUAAAAUCGGGCUGUCCAUCAGUUUAAACAACUGGUGAAGAAAGGGCCGGGCAAGACCGGUGCCAGCCGCCGCGGUAAUACCGGCGGCUUGAGUGGUGGCCACUAUUACUGGGCUUAAAGCGUUCGUAGCUGGUCUGUUAAGUCCCUGGGGAAAUCUUCCGGCUUAACCGGAAGGCGUCUCAGAGAUACUGGCAGACUAGGGACCGGAAGAGGUGAGAGGUACUCCAGGGGUAGGAGUGAAAUCCUGUAAUCCUUGGGGGACCACCUGUGGCGAAGGCGUCUCACCAGAACGGCUCCGACAGUGAGGGACGAAAGCUGGGGGAGCAAACCGGAUUAGAUACCCGGGUAGUCCCAGCUGUAAACGAUGCGCGUUAGGUGUAUCAGUGACCACGAGUUACUGAGGUGCCGAAGAGAAAUCGUGAAACGCGCCGCCUGGGAAGUACGGUCGCAAGGCUGAAACU
rnacentral:rRNA from 1 species